ACUUGACUGUGAUUCAUGCUGUUUAAAAUACGCAACAUUAGGACGCGGUGAGUUUCAGAAAGUGUCCUUGUCUCCUGUAUCUGCCCCUUAUGAAUAAGAGUGCAGGUACAAGUAUGGGGUGAUUGGGAGAAACGUGAACUUAUAGCUCCUGAAACAGACACUAUAUUGUGGCAAAUAAGAGAAUGUUCUGCAAAUUAUCUCAGGGAUCGCUUAGAUUUCAAGACACACUAUGAAGACAAGACGGCUAGUGGUCUUUGACCCUCAGAAUCACCUCAGAGAGUUGCUCGUGAAGAAAAAACACAAUUUAUUCCUCUCCUAAAUGUGGAAAAUACUACAAAAUACCUGUCUGGAGAGAACAUUCUCAGAGUCUUGUCAUUCUCCGUUCAGGUUGAUUUGCGUGAGAGGCAUUUUUUUUGUCAACAUUUUGGACCAGAAUAAUUUUGCUAUGCUUGCUUACCAUGAAAUCUCCAAUUUGAGAUAAAAUCAGAUUUAAAAAAACAUGAAGUUUUCUUCCUGAGUAUCCUUGGAAAGCAGAAUGCACUGUGCCAGCUGCUGUGGCCACACUAUACAACCACAUUCUCAUGUGCUCAGAACAGACCGCCCUUUGCAUAUACUGUGAAAAUGGAGUCUAUUUCUCAUCAGUUCCUUUCCUUCAGUUUUUCCCUCAGAAAAUGGUUUUAAUUAAUAUUGAUAUAUAAGAUUUAGAAUUCUAAGAUGUUAAAGGUCGGUUAAUAUAAAUUUUCUUUCAGUUAGUUCUUUUUGACAUUUCUAUAUG
rnacentral:lncRNA from 1 species